CCCGAGUGUUCCCGAGUCCCGAGUCGCGCGCGCCCCGCCGAGGGGAGUGGGGGCGGCACUGCUUGGCACCAGCCCGGGCGGGGUGGGGGGGCUGGCCGGGCGUCGCCGCGGCUUGGGGGCGCGGGAACCGCACCCUGGGUGGACGGGGACCCGCCAGGCGCUGGCAUUGUCCGACCACGGCUUCUGAUUGGCCGGCUGGAAGGGGCUCGGGACCUCUGUCCCGCGUCACAGAGCCAGCACCCGCCCCGGCUCCCGAGCUCUCUCCCCGCGGGGUCCCGGGGACCGUCCCACCCUGACUCCCUGGGCCGCGCGAGGGUUGCCCCCUCUGGGUAGAGCGUCCCGGCUCCGGGAAUUCUUGCCUUCUGGAAAGAGUGGUGUCAUUGAGGAAUUCCCCAGCUGGGCACCGGCUUCCCUUUUACUUCUUGCUAGAGCCUCUGCCCCUUCCAACCUUUUGUUUGCCUCUGCCCUUGGUCUCUCUCCCCCAACGUGUGGAUUCCUGCUCCCCGUACCAGCUGGGCAAAGAUCUCUGAGGGCUGCAUAGACGGCCAGGGGACGACAGCCAGUGGGGCAGGUGCUGCUUUUAUCCCAUCUGGAGAGAUGAGGAAACCUCCCCAAGAGGCCAGACACUUCCAGAGAAGGCCAGCCAAGGAUUCCACCCUCAGCAGGAAAUGAGCAUCAGACGCUGGUUGGGGGUGUUCCUGCCAGCUGCUGUCCCAGUGGCCACCUCCCUGAGGGAUGGGUAGGGGAGAGCAGGCCAGCUCCACCCGGAAGAGAGGGGUGGACAGCAGGCAGAGCAGAGUGGCAUCAGACCCCUCCAGCCUAGCCCGGAAGUCAGGUGUAUCAGCCCCUGGCCAGCAGUAGCGGUCAGCUCCUCACCGGCAGCCCAGGGCUCAGAAGCCCAGGACAAAGUGAGUUGGCCUCCUUUCCCUCUGCUCAGAAAUGACAGCUGGUUGGUUUUUAAAGUUGUGAUGAAGCACGCAUAACGUAAUUUCCCAUUUUGACCAUCUUAAGUAUACAGUUGGGUGGUGUGUACAUUAUUACGCAAUAUUAUUAUUACUUCACCACCAUCCCUCUCCAGAACAUUUUUCACCUUGCAAGAAUGAAAUUCUGUACUUAUUAAACGUUAACUCCCCGUUUCUUCUUCCUCGAGCCCCUGGCAAUCACUGUUCCACUUUCUCUUUGUAAACUGGACUAUUCCAAGCACCUCAUAGAAUUGGAAUCAUAACAGCAUUACUCCUUUUGUAACUGGCUUAUGUCGCUCAGCACGAUGCCCCCAAGGGUCACCCAUGUUGUAGCUGGGUCAGACUCUCCUUCCUUUUUCCAACUGAAUAUUUCAUUGUUUAUGCAACACGGCCUGUCGGUGGACGCUUGGAUUGCUGCUACCCUGUGGCCGUCGUGAGUGAUGCUGCUUUGAACGUGGGUGUGCAAAUACCUGUUUGAGACCCUGCUUUCAACUCUGAGGGUGACACGUGGCUCCAUCCCUCAGGCCUCAGUCUUCCCUCCUGGAAGUGGAGGGGACACACGCUCAGGAGGUUGCCAGGAAAGGCUUACGAGAGACGUGCGUGCAAAGAGCAGCAACGCUCCUCUUGGACUGCCCGCGUCCCCAACCGCCUCCAGCAAGAGGCUUCAUGGAUGCCUGACAUUUCGUUAUUCACGUAUAUUCUUCAGAUGAGCAUCGCUUUUUACAAAUGCCAGUAUCCUGUGAGGAUCCCCUGGUUGCUUCUGGGGAAGGAUAUAGGGGAUGGGAGUAUGGAGACAUCUCACCUUAUAACCUUUUUGUACGUUUACAAUUCUGAGCUAUGUGGGGGCGCCUGGGUGGCUCGCUCAGUUAAGCAUCUGACUCUUGAUUGAAAUCAAGAUCAUAUCUCACAGUUUGUGAGUUCGAGCCCCGCGUCAGGCUUUGUGCGGACAGCACCGAGCCUGCUUGGGGUUCUCUCUCUCCCUCUC